CUGUGGCCUUGCUUGAAUUAAUUUUAAUAUAAUGAGAGGUAUAAAUCAAAAUUCAUUUCAUUAUUUUUUGCAAGAUGGCUAUCCAGGUGUUUCAACAUUCUCUAUUGAAAAUAUGUCUUACUUUGUCUUUCUUGAAACCCUUGCCUUCCUUUAUGUACUCUCUACUUACAUGAUUUUGCCUUUUCCCAUGAGUUUAAAUGAAGUCUAAAUACUGAUGACAUCUAAAUAUAUAUGUGCAUUUGAGUACUUUCCCCUGGAUUUCCUGAUAAAUCAAUUCAACUGUCUAUUUGUCAUUGUCCAUCAAACAUUUCAAAGACAUCUUAAAUUUAACACAGCCAAAAAGAGUCUUAAUUUCCCCAAUUCUAGAACUAUUUCAUUCAUAUGAUCUUUCCUCAUUUCCACAAGCAUUAUCAAUAUGCUCUAAGAAAGCUAGGAACUAUGCUGAAUUCAGUUCUUUACUUCAGCUAAUAACAGCAAAUCUUCAAAUUCUUUCUCCCAAAUCAUCUGAAAUCCAACUACAUUUUAAGUUCAGCUAUCUCUUCAAUACCCAUUCACAACUGCCAUUCACCUGGACUCCUGCUGCAGCCCACCUACUAGGUCUUCUUCACAUAAACCCAUCUCCAAUCCGUUCUUUUCAAAGCAGCAAAAGCGGUAAUUUAAAACAUUAUAUAACUCCCCUGCUUAAAAUUCUUCCAUAACUUUUACUCAAUGAACUAAAUAAACAUGUAUUAAGCAUUUAUUCUAUGUCAAGCAUUGUUCAAGGAACUGAGGAUAUAAUGGUAAUUACAAAAAUACAUGGUCUCUAACUUCAUUAAAUGUACAUGCAUCCAGUAUUCAAACACACACACACACACCCUAUAAGAUGUUAACUCUGACAAAUAUAUAGAAGGGUAAUAAACAAUGUAAUGAAUGCUUUCAAAUAGGAAUUUUAUAUGCAAGCAAGACUCUUUGGGAUACUGAUUAUUUAGCACAAAUUAUCUAAAAAAAAACAGAGACUUAGGCAGAAAACUAUUCGUGUAAAUAUGCAGAUUUACAAUAUGCUACAGUAUGGCAAGGAUACAAAGAUGGAAGGAUAAAUGACAAGGACAGAAAGCAAAGAGAACAAGAUGAACUUUGAGGAAAAAAAAAGAAGGAACCAAACCCACAGGCCUUGCUAAGUAGUAUUUUUCUCUUCCUUAAAAUAACACAGAACAAUCUGAGAAAGAGCACUGUGGCUACAGUGUAGAGAGUAUAUUGAGAAGAAAACAGAACUCUAGAGUUUGGGCAAUGAUCUAGAAAAAGUGGAAUGGUAGAUCUUUCUUGCUUUAAAACCCAAACCCAUUCAGCCUGGAAUGAAUGCUUUCACUCCUACUUGUCAGGUCUCAGAUUAAAUACUUCCUCUUAAAAGGAAACCUUCCCUGACCACCAAGAAAAUAAAAAUUUUCUCACCCAGAUCCAUUAUUUUGUAUCACCUUGUUUGCUUCCUUCAAACAUUAAGCACUUUAACAUUUCAUGAUUAGUACUUCUUUAUUUAUUUCUAUCUAUAACCCUAGAAUGUUUGCACCAGGAGAGGGGGACUAUGCCUAUCUUUUUUCUUCCAGCUUGUAAAUUGCCAGUGCAUUCACCAGCAGCAGCUUUAUGGCUGUACUAAAAACAAUAUUGAUCAAAUGAAGUGAUAUCACUGUCUUCACAUGAUAUUAGCUUUCCUCUGCUCAUAAUAUAUGCCACUUAGCAUAAACAUGCUAGGUUAAACCUUUCAACAACUUCUCCACACCUACGUGUUAUGUCACGUGCUGGAUAAGGUGUUAGAGAUAGAAUAAUAACUUCCAAGACCAUAAGAUAUCUAUCAAUGGUUUAGAACAAUGGUUCUGGUUCCCGUUGUGGCACAGCAGAAAGGAAUCCGACUAGGAAUCAUGUGGUUGCAGGUUCAUCCCUGGCCUCACUCAGUGGAAUAAGGAUCUGGCAUUGCCAUGAGCUGUGGUGUAGAAUAGCUGAGAUCUAUUUCUACCAUCUGACUUUAAUUAUUUUGUAUUUUAUCUUAAAACUCACCUCCUUAUGUGAGAAAUGGAAAAUGAAACAUAUUAUAGAUUUGGCAUAAUUAAAUCCUUCCAUCAAUGAUGAGUAAUGGCUGUAUUCUCAGGCUGCUGGACUAGGGAUAUAGCAGUGAUUUAAAAUAGCCCUUAAAAGAAAUCUCUUGAUUUUUAGGUAUUAGCUUAAAUCUCAGGCUUAACAAAUCACAUGGUUCCUCUUUCUAAGCACAGGAUGGGAUCAGUUUUACAUAAGACUUGGUAUCAGAUAUACUGAUAAUCAGAUUGCAUGACUUUUAAACAAAUUCAGAUGUUAUAGACAUAAAAAAAUAUCAUAGAGCAUAUUAUGUUUCAACUCAAAAAUCUAAUGAAUAUAUAGAUAUUGAGCACACACUAGUAGAAAGGCCAGAUGGUAUAGGGAGCAGGUAUAUGGAUCAGGCACAUCCCAAUCCUGAAGUUGCUUAUAAUCUAAAGAUGAAAAUUUAACAUAAACACA
rnacentral:lncRNA from 1 species